AGGAUGAUCAGCCACAUUGGGACUGAGACACGGCCCAAACUCCUACGGGAGGCAGCAGUGGGGAAUAUUGGACAAUGGGCGCAAGCCUGAUCCAGCCAUGCCGCGUGAGUGAUGAAGGCCCUAGGGUUGUAAAGCUCUUUCACCGGAGAAGAUAAUGACGGUAUCCGGAGAAGAAGCCCCGGCUAACUUCGUGCCAGCAGC
rnacentral:rRNA from 1 species